GAAUUGCAGAAUUCCGUGAAUCAUCGAGUUUUUGAACGCAAGUUGCGCCCGAGGCUCGUCCCGAGGGCAUGCCUGCCUGAGCGUCCG
rnacentral:rRNA from 1 species